rnacentral:tRNA from 1 species
CAUCACCUAGUUUAAUUAGAACCCCUGACUUGCAUUCAGGCAGUGGCCCCUAGCCGGUGAUGA